CGGCGUGUGGGUGUGAGAGAGGAAGGCAGCGAAGGCUGCAGGGCGGUCAGGCGGAGGAAGCCGCUGGGCUGUGCCUGCAAUCGGUGCGUUGCCCCUUUAAUUGUGUCCCC
ensembl:miRNA gga-mir-6637-1 gga-mir-6637-1